AUACUUACCUGGACGGGUUCAAUGGGCAAUCAAGAAGGCCCAUGGCCUAGGCUGGUGACCUCCAUUGCACUUUGGACGGGUGCCCGCCUAAGAUCGGCCCAAUUGAGCCUACGUCAUAAUUAGUGGUAGAGGGUGCCGUAAAAAAAAUCCCUA
rnacentral:snRNA from 1 species